GUGAGGAAUAUUGGUCAAUGGGCGAGAGCCUGAACCAGCCAAGUCGCGUGAAGGAAGACGGCCCUACGGGUUGUAAACUUCUUUUGCAAUGGAAUAAAAAGAGUUACGUGUAAUUCAUUGUAUGUACAUUGCAAAUAAGGAUCGGCUAACUCCGUGCCAGCAGCCGCGGUAAUACGGAGGAUCCGAGCGUUAUCCGGAUUUAUUGGGUUUAAAGGGUGCGUAGGCGGAUUGGAAAGUCAGCGGUGAAAGUUUGCAGCUUAACUGUAAAAUUGCCAUGGAAACUGUCAGUCUUGAGUGCAAAUGAGGUAGGCGGAAUGUGUUGUGUAGCGGUGAAAUGCAUAGAUAUAACACAGAACACCAAUUGCGAAGGCAGCUUACUGGGAUGCAACUGACGCUGAGGCACGAAAGCGUGGGGAUCAAACAGGAUUAGAAACCCCAGUAGUCC
rnacentral:rRNA from 1 species